rnacentral:lncRNA from 1 species
UAUCCCUCCCACUUUGACGCCAACUUUCUUCAAGUUCAAGAGGUUUUUGUAUGAGAUUUUUUCACACCAAAGAGAGAUUCUCCCUCUCUUUCUCACAUCCAAAUCUAAUUUGAUUUUGAUAAAAGAAAGGUUCUGACAUUGAAUUUCAAAAUAUUUCUUAUCAAGAGAAUCUAUUCUUAUCCAAAUCACUCCACAUGCCAACUUAUUUUUUUUCCUUAUGUGUGCGAUAUUUUGAGGAAAUUUUUUUAUGAAAAAUUAGUUGGAGAAUUAAUUUACCAUAGAAAAAUAUAAGAAAGGGCAUCCCAUAUUUUUUUGGACAUGUUUUGGCAUAGAAUUAGG